rnacentral:rRNA from 1 species
AAGAUUACGCGCUGAACUUAAGCAUAUCAAUAAGCGCAGGAAAAGAAAACAACCGUGAUUCCGUUAGUAAGGGCGACUGAACUCGGAAAAGCUCAUACUGAAAAUCCGUUGCUUUUUACUAGGCAACUGAAUUGUAGUAUUCAGAAAGAGAAGACACUUCAGGGGAAAGACGUUUGAAUGUUGAAAUGUUUUGAUUGGAAAAUCAUAUCAUAGAAGGUGAUAAUCCUGUACAACAUUCAAGCGCUCUUUCUCAUUUGCUUCUCUUUUUAGAGUCGGGUUAUUUGGGAGUAUAGCCUAAAAUGGGUGGUAAAUUUCACCUAAAGCUAAAUAUCGGGAGAGAGACCGAUAGCAAAGUCAAGUAGUGCGAACGAAAGGUGAAAAGAACUUUGAAAAGAGAGUUAAACAAGGG